GGGCAGUGCGCAGCUAUAAUGCAGUCGAGCGGAUUGAUGGGAGCUUGCUCCCUGAUAUCAGCGGCGGACGGGUGAGUAACACGUGGGUAACCUGCCUGUAAGACUGGGAUAACUCCGGGAAACCGGGGCUAAUACCGGAUAACUCAUUUCCUCGCAUGAGGAAAUGUUGAAAGGUGGCUUCUGCUACCACUUACAGAUGGACCCGCGGCGCAUUAACUAGUUGGUGAGGUAACGGCUCACCAAGGGAACCAUGCCUAACCCACCUGAAAGGGUGAUCGGCCACACUGGGACUGAAACACGGCCCAAACUCCUACGGGAAGCAACAGUAAGGAAUCUUCCGCAAUGGACCAAAGUCUGACGGAACAACGCCCCGUGAGUGAUGAAGGUUUUCCGAUCGUAAAGCUCUGUUGGUAAGGAAGAACAAGUGCCGUUCGAAUAGGGCGGCACCUUGACCGUACCUAACCAGAAAGCCACGGCUAACUACGUGCCAGCAGCCGCGGUAAUACCUACGUGGCAAGCGUUGUCCGGAAUUAUUGGGCGUAAAGCGCGCGCAAGUGGUUCCUUAAGUCUGAAGUGAAAGCCCACGGCUCAACCGUGGAAGGUCAUUGGAAACUGGGGAACUUGAAUGCAAAAGAAGAAAGUGGAAAUUCCCAGUGUUGCGGUGAAAUGCGUACAUAUUUGGAAGAACAACAGUGGCGAAUGCGACCUUCUUGGCUGUAACUGACCCUUAAGCGCGUAAGCCUCGCGAGCAACCAGAUUAGAUACCCUGGUAUCCCUGCCGGAACGAUCAAUGCUAAUGGUAAGGUGAUUCGUCCCUUAAUGCUCAGCUACCGUUAAGCACUCCGCCGGGGAUGACGUGUCCCACUGACCU
rnacentral:rRNA from 2 species